AAUAUUGCGCAAUGGGGGAAACCCUGACGCAGCAACGCCGCGUGAGCGAUGAAGGCCUUCGGGUCGUAACGCUCUGUCCUUGGGGAUGAAUAAUGACAGUACCCAUGGAGGAAGCCCCGGCUAACUACUUGCCAGCAGCCGCGGUAAUACGUAGGGGGCAAGCGUUGUCCGGAAUUACUGGGCGUAAAGGGCGCGUAGGCGGUCUUGUAAGUCAGAUGUGAAAGUCCAGGGCUCAACCGUGGAAUUGCAUUUGAAACUAUAGGACUUGAGUGCAGGAGAGGAGAGCGGAAUUCCUAGUGUAGCGGUGAAAUGCGUAGAGAUUAGGAAGAACACCAGUGGCGAAGGCGGCUCUCUGGACUGUAACUGACGCUGAGGCGCGAAAGCGUGGGUAGCGAACA
rnacentral:rRNA from 1 species